rnacentral:rRNA from 1 species
UACAGAGGGUGCGAGCGUUAAUCGGAAUUACUGGGCGUAAAGAGUGCGUAGGUGGUUAUGUAAGUCAGGUGUGAAAUCCCGGAGCUCAACUUCGGAAUUGCGCUUGAUACUGUGUGACUAGAGUUUUGGAGAGGGUAGUGGAAUUUCCGGAGUAGCGGUGAAAUGCGUAGAUAUCGGAAGGAACACCAGUGGCGAAGGCGACUACCUGGCCAAAAACUGACACUGAGGCACGAAAGCGUGGGUAGCAAACAGG